GGGGGCGAAAUUGGAUUCGACCGGGCAGGUAGCGGUGUUGUGCGGCGUGCCGUGGUUGGUCAGUUGGCCACGUUAAAAGCUGACCGCAACAAUAACUGCUGAAACGCAGUACGCAUUGGCUGCCUAAUAAGCGGCAGCCGGAGCUGCGGACCUUCGCCUGAGAGGUCCAAAAGCUCCUUGCCAAGUCAGGCUCGCGGAAGGUCAAUGCCCGCUACGCCUUCCGUCAAAAACCGUGGCGGACUAGCCUUGUGCCGGACCCUGCUUGCUGGGGACCGCACUGGCGAACCAAAAAUAGGCAAGCUACGCACGUAGAGGCCUUCACCAAAAUGCCGCGGGACGCGGGUUCGAUUCCCGCCGCCUCCACUU
rnacentral:tmRNA from 1 species